GAUGAACGCUAGCGACAGGCCUAACACAUGCAAGUCGAGGGGCAGCACAUGAGUAGCAAUACGAUGGUGGCGACCGGCGCACGGGUGAGUAUCGCGUAUGCAACCUACCUUCCACAGGGGGAUAGCCCUCCGAAAGGGAGAUUAAUACCGCAUAAAACAGGGGCCCCGCAUGGGGAUAUUUGUUAAAGAUUUAUCGGUGGGAGAUGGGCAUGCGUUCCAUUAGCUAGUUGGCGGGGUAAUGGCCCACCAAGGCAUCGAUGGAUAGGGGAACUGAGAGGUUUAUCCCCCACACUGGAACUGAGACACGGUCCAGACUCCUACGGGAGGCAGCAGUGAGGAAUAUUGGUCAAUGGGCGGGAGCCUGAACCAGCCAAGUCGCGUGAAGGAGGACGGUUCUAUGGAUUGUAAACUUCUUUUGCACUGGGGUAAAACGGGGGACGUGUCCCCCCUUGCAAGUACAGUGCGAAUAAGCAUCGGCUAACUCCGUGCCAGCAGCCGCCGCGGUAA
rnacentral:rRNA from 1 species